ensembl:snRNA U1 U1 spliceosomal RNA
AUACUUACCUGGCAGGGGAGAUACCAUGAUCAGGAAGGUGGUUUUCCCAGAGUGAGGCUCAUCCAUUGCACUUUGGGGUGUGCUGACCUCUGCGAUUUCCCCAAAUGCGGGAAACUCGACUGCAUAAUUUGUGGUAGUGGGGGACUGCGUUCGCGCUCUCCCCCU